rfam:Crassostrea gigas strain 05x7-T-G4-1.051#20 contig3216, whole genome shotgun sequence.
GUCUCAAUAGCUCAGUGGUUAGAGCGCUGGCACGGUACGUCAGAGGCCCUGUAUUCGAGUCCCGGUUGAGACU